GACAAAGUGAAUUAGUAUCAUUCUUCCAAUGACAGAGAGUCAGGGGCCAAGGGUUUCUGCGAUCCCUGGAUUUCACAACAGGAGGAAGGUGGAUACAUGCUGGAGAAAAAAUGCUGGAAGUGUGAUGCAGAUCAGACCUUCAGAACAAAUCAAAGGUGAGUCUGGAUCUCUCCAUUGUAGAAAGGAAACAAAUAUGAAUACUUGGACCAAGUUCUCAAUUGGAUCAGGGGCCUCCCUA
rnacentral:lncRNA from 11 species